ACAAGUACCCUGAGGGAAAGUUGAAAUAGUACUUUGCAGAGAGAGUUAACAGGGCGUGAAACCGUUAAUUGGCAAACGAAUCGGAGCCACGAAGUCGUUUCGCUGAUUAGUUGGGCCAAAUUCAGUUUGUGAAUCGUAAAAAAAUUCACGGGCGUAUUUUUGGUUCGACCAAAAUCUUUGUAAGCGUACACUGCAACCAGUUAGACAAUUUGCCAUGGGCCCAGUUGUUGUUGGGUACACUUUAUUCAGCUUCAAUGCAGUAUUUGUUUGUCCAAGUUAGUAGUAGCGAGAGGUAAACUUCGGUUUAUUCUUGUUGCUGGGCUUGUGACAAGUGAACUAUGGCAAAAUACUGACUGGCACACUGAAAAUCGCCUCUGUGCGUUUUAUAAAAUGCAAUCUAUUGCAUUUGAGUCUACACAUUCGACCAUGGGGUCUCUAAGCUCAGCGUUUUUGAAUUUGGACUUGCUUGCUACCAAUGGGGCAACUCUUGGUGCUUGUAUAGCUUCCAUCUAAUCGGGCGUUGACUUGGCACUGUGUCGUUCGCAUGUGAAACGAUUGGACUUGAAUGUAAGUGGAUUUGCCAUUGAUUGGCAGUGAGUAGGUCGGCUUUCCGAACGACCCGUCUUGAAACACGGACCAAGG
rnacentral:rRNA from 1 species